AUCUGGGAGGAGAGCCUUCUUGAGUGGCAGACUCACAUUUGCCAAGCCCAGAGACUAGGACUGACCUUCACGAUUUCAGUUGAUUGAUUUAUAACAAGAAACAUGAAUGUUGAAAAGACUAGUCACUCAUAUCCCCUGGACAGUGCUUUCUCCCACAGGGACCCAUAUCAUGACCAGAGGAGCAGAGUUCAGUUUUUGAUUUGGAGGUUAAGGGCAUCCAUCCAGCCAUUCACCUGAUGGAGGUCCACUUACUGUGUUCCAGUUAUUAACUCAUUCAGUCCUUCCAGCAUCAGUGAGAAAGUUUAUAAAAACUUAAUGAUAGAUGCUCAUCAGAUUAGAAGUAGACAUGCUUCAUUAAAAAUCCUUACCCUGGAGCCUUAGUUGGUUUUUUGUAAAUUCACUCACCUUCUUGAUGGUAUGAGCAGCCACGGUGGGCUCUGGGCAGAGACUGUGUGGAUUCAUCCGGAGGACGAGCUGUUCAGGGCAUGAGGAAGAGGAGGGUGUGGGGCUGCUGACCCCUGCCUGAUGCCCUGUGGCCCAGCCUGUGGGCUGGAGGCUGCUCGGGCCCAGUGGAGGCUCUCUGACCUGGAGCCACGGUGUCUGCUUCUCCAAGUCCUACCUCCCCUCCGGACCUCAGCAUUCAUCUGAAAAGCAGCGGUGGUGCUGGCUCUUACACAGGGGUGUAGUGAGCCUCAAAUGCGGAGGUGUUUAGCAGAUGGUUAUGAAUUAUAAUAAAGGCAAA